rnacentral:rRNA from 1 species
CGAAAGCCAGACGCAGCGACGCCGCGUGGGCGAAGAAGGCCUUCGGGUUGUAAAGCCCUUUUCCAGGGGAAGAGGAAGGACGGUACCCUGGGAAUAAGUCCCGGCUAACUAUGUGCCAGCAGCCGCGGUAAGACAUAGGGGACGAGCGUUAUCCGGAUUUACUGGGCGUAAAGAGCGUUGAGGCGGUUCCGUAAGUUGGAUGUGAAAGCCCCGGGCUUAACUCGGGGAGGUCGUUCAAUACUGCGGGGCUAGAGGGCAGCAGAGGGAGGUGGAAUUCCCGGUGUAGUGGUGAAAUGCGUAGAUAUCGGGAGGAACACCCGUGGCGAAGGCGGCCUCCUGGGCUGACCCUGACGCUGAAUGCGAAAGCUAGGGGAGCG